rnacentral:rRNA from 1 species
UACGUAGGGGGCAAGCGUUGUCCGGAAUUAUUGGGCGUAAAGAGCUCGUAGGCGGUCUGUCGCGUCGGCUGUGAAAUCUCGGGGCUCAACCCCGAGCCUGCAGUCGAUACGGGCAGACUAGAGUGCUGUAGGGGAGACUGGAAUUCCUGGUGUAGCGGUGAAAUGCGCAGAUAUCAGGAGGAACACCGGUGGCGAAGGCGGGUCUCUGGGCAGUAACUGACGCUGAGGAGCGAAAGCGUGGGGAGCGAACAGG